rnacentral:rRNA from 1 species
CCCUUAGAUGUUCUGGGCGGCCCGCGCACUACAAUGGCGUGUGCAGCGAGUGCCGAAGUAGAGUUUUCCGAGGUAUUCUUGCAAUGCUCGUUUUGAUGGGGAUAGACCCUUGCAACUGUUGGUUUUGAACGAGGAAUUCCUUGUAAGCAUGGUUUAUCAUCCGACGCUGAAUGCGUCCCUGCCCUUUGUACACACCGCCCGUCGCUCCUACCGAUGAGUCGUCCGGUGAAGUUCGUAGACCUCGUGAUCGCGGAUCACUGGGGGAAGCAAAAUGAACCUCGCGGUUUAGAGGAAGGAGAAGACGUAACA